UGUUUUUAAUAAGAUCAAAUGAUCCAUAUUGCUUCUUUGUAUAUAUGUUUACAAGAUAUAUAUACAUAUAUAGUAUAAGGAUAUUAUAAGUUUCGAUCGACCGUGUAUUUGACGAAAAAUUGAAAACCAAAACAGGCUUACAAUAGAUUUUGUUAUAAGUUAUAACAAAUAAAUGUUUUGAUUGGUCCUUCACAAAUAGAGAUUGAAAAAUAGGAGAAAAACCAUUUAUUUUUCGAACGUGAUUCUCAUCGCGUCUCAUACAUCAAUAUGGUACAAAAUGAUUAUUGUGUAUGACUUCCCAAUAGUUUGCUCCAUUUCUAUUUGUG